rnacentral:misc_RNA from 1 species
AAGUCGUAACAAGGUUUCCGUAGGUGAACCUGCGGAAGGAUCAUUAACAAAUCUCUUAUUAAAAGUGUCAUAAAUAUAUAUAUAUUUAUUGACCUUUUACAACUUGUGAACUGUUCUAUAUUUUUGAGAAUUGGGGAAUACAUAUAUAUAUAUAUAUUAUAUAUAUAUGUUUCAUACACUUUUAUAAUUAUGAAAAUUAUUUUCAUGAACCGGUUUAUAUAUAAUAACUGGGACAAAGUAUAUAUAUUUUAUAUAUAUCUAUAAAAUAAUUAUACAACUUUUAACAAUGGAUCUCUUGGCUCUC